rnacentral:tRNA from 1 species
GCAGGCAUGGCGGAAUCGGUAGACGCAGCGGACUUAAAAUCCGUUUUCCGUAAGGAAGUGGGGGUUCGAGUCCCCCUGCCUGCACCA